AGCCCGCGCCUGCGCGCCGCCCGGACAGGGCACGUCGCCCGCGCGGGGGGUGGCGGGCCCAGGAGGAGGGGACCCCGAGCCCCCCACCGCCUGCCAGGGCGGGUCGCCACGCUGGACGGGGGCAGCGCGGGGCGGGGGCGGGGUCGGGGGGCGGCAGAAGGCGCCUUUGUGCGCCGCGUCCCCGAGCGUGUCGCGGCGGGCCCGGCACCGGCCCGGCUCCAGCGCCCGCCCCGGCCCGCGCCCCGGCCCCGCGCGCAUACCUGGCGAGGCCACGAGGGGAUUUUGCGGGCCGAGCCCCGCCUGGGCUGCGCUGCCGCAGGCGGGAGAGGCUGAGGACUCUUUUGGGAAGCCCCUCCGUCGGCUGUAACCCCAGGGCCGUGCCACCCUCCUGAUCACCGCAAGCAUGGACACCGCAGCACGCUGCGGGUGGGACAGGCAGGGCCCCUGCAGGGUGGCUUGGCUGGCCUGGAGUUGGGGACGAAGUCCCCGGGCUUGGUCCCCCGAGGUGUUGGUUGGGCGUCCCGGGGUAGGUGGCUGCCGCGGCGGUGUGGGCGGCUUGCGUGUGGCCGAUCGGGGUCGCUGCUGAGCCCUGGAGAGCGGAGGGUCCAGGCUAGGCUGGGGGAGCGAGAGGCGAGGGCGGAGCCGCGGAGGUGUGGGCGGCUUGCGUGGUCCCAGAGGCCCCAGGUUCCCGGCAGGGCGGGAGAGGCUAGGGCGGGGCCAGAGCCGGAGCCGCGAAGCCGCGAUGGAGAGGGCCUGGAGGGUGCGCCAGGAGCCGGCCUCAGGGCCUGCCUCCAUCUCCUCCAACCCUCCUUCCAACCCCCACCCCGUUUAUUCCUGUAACAAAUCCCUACCGGGAGCUGGCACGGCAGCUGUGCUCUGGGGACACACGAGAUGCUCACCCUCCCUGCCCUCCAGGAGCUUGGACUCAGCUGAGGUCUGCAGGGGCCAGCAGGAGCAGGGCCGAGGGCCCUGGUGGGAAGGUCGUGGCCCACUAGGGAAGGCUGGGCCCGGGGGGGUCAGGUGGAGGGCAGGCUGAGCUGCGAGCUGUUUCCUCAGCCUGGAGCAAGGCCACCACUCCCAGCGCCUGGCCUCCUCGCUCCCGAAAGCUCAGCUCAGCCUACAUGUGCCGACCCCUCUGUCCCCCAGGCCCAGGUUGAGCACUGGUCAGGACGGUGCUCCCAGAGGGACCCAGUAACAGGAGGAGCUAGGGUGAGAGCAUGAGGGUGGGGGGAGCGGCAGAGAGGAGGGAGAGGCAGGAGGUGCUCAGGGCAGGAGUGUCUGGAGUGGGUCUGGACAGGAACAGGAGGAGCAUUCCAGGCAGAGGGGCCCAAAGAAGCAAAGGUGCACCAGGGAGAAAUGCCCGCUGUGCUCCACCACAGUGGAGGUGCAAACCUCAGCAUGGAAAAUGAGGCUGAAGGGAGGGGCCUGGGCUGGAACAUGGCCAGGAUGGCAGUGGGGAGCCAUUGGAGAUGUUUGAGCAGGGGAGUGACAGGGCCAGAUUCGAGUUUUGGAAAGAUAACAUCUUGAGCCAUUAAACAGAGUUGUAGGAUUUCAGGUUUGUUUGUUUAUUUAUUUAUAUUUAGAGGCUCACUUCACUCUGUUACCCAGGCUGUAGUGCAGUGGUGCGAUCUCUGCUCACUGCAAUCACUCAAGGCCAAGUGAUUCUCCUGCCCCAGUCUCCUGAGUAGCUAGGACUACAGGCGUGCACCACCAUGCCUGGCUAAUUUUUGUAUUUUUAGUAGAGGCGGGGUUUCGCCAUGUUGGCCAGGCUGGUCUCAAAUUCCUGGCUGGGAUUACAGGCGUGAGCCACCACGCCCUGCUGGAUUUUGGAUUCUCGAUAUGUAUCAUCAACCACUCUCCAGAGUUUGGCCAGCUUCACGCUCCCAUCAGUGGUCUCACCAUAGACCUUCUAAUCUUGAUUGUGUUGACUGCUGUCUAUUUUCUAAUGGUGUUUGGUUUUGGAACCUGCAUUUCUUUGAAAAAGAGUGAGCAUGUGCAUUUUCCCAGAUGCCUAGUAUCCAACUGCACUUCUCCAUGUGUGCAUUGUCCCCUGAGCUGGCAAGAAGAUCCUACUAGUUGAUCUGCAUGCCAUGCCAGCUCGGCCUUGCACCCUGGGGGCCCAGGUAACUAGCUCUCACCAACAGAAAGAGAUGUGAUGGACAUCACCUGAGGCCAGACCCUAAGACCUCUGUGUGCCCCCUCCGUGUCUCCUGUCUGCAGCUAUUGUCCACACCAAGGGUGGCCUACAGAGGGAAGUGAGGACCUUGGGACUUCCUCCAGGACAGCCAUCACUGUCCAAAUCUCCACCUGCUGCAGAGCUGCCUCCAGUCAAGCCCUUGUUUCCGGCUUUCUGUGCCCUAAAUAAACUGCUAGGAUUGAGCCGUCAGCAUUCUGUGGUGGGCGUCGCUGCUGUGAGGUUGCCCUCGUGCACACAAGCUCCUCACAGGGUCUCGCUGUCGCCCAGGCUGGAGGGCAGUGGUGUGAUCUCGACUCACUGCAGCCUUGACCUGUUGGGCUCAAGUGAUCCUCCCACGUCAGCCUCCAAGUAGCCAAGACCACAGGCAGGCGUCACCACACCCAGCCCCCAUGAUGACUUUACUUUUCUUCUUGAACCUGCUGUCUACGAGCUUCAUCAAAUGGGCAGGACCACUUUCCCUUAACUUCUCCUUUUCUGGAACAACGGACAUAUCCUGUGGAUAAUCUGUUCCCCACAGAUGGAGUCUCACUCUGUUGCCCAGGCUGGAGUGCAAUGGCGUGAUUGCUACUCACUGCAACCUCCCCCUCCUGGAGUUCAAGCGACUCUCCUGCCUCAGCCUCCAGAGUUGCUGGGAUUACAGGCACCCACAACCAUACCCUAAAUUUUGUAUUUUAGUAAAGAUGGGGUUUCACCAUUUGGCCAGGCUUGUCUUGAACUCCCAGUUACCAAUUUCUUAUGUGUCCUUUUGAAGACUUUCUAAG